UACGGUAUUCAGUUUAUAUGCAAACGCAUUUAAAUAUAUUUACCUCGAUACUCGACCAAGCUGUUGAAAAAUUAUAUUAAUUAGAACGAGAACAAGUAAGAUUAAUGUGUUGUUUUCACAUUUCUUUAAAUGGCUGCCAAUACCGCAUGUAAUAAAACAAUCGAAGCGCAUGCGCAUAAUAUAUGUUACACUCCACUAAACUAGUUGCAGCAAAGACAUUCACAGGCGUUCAUGUCACUUAUAUUCAUGAUAUUUCCAUAUGCGAGUGUGAUUGUAAACACAAGUUUCUGAAAACAGUGCGAAAAGGGGCAUUACGCAAAGCCAAUAAAUCUGCGCAGAUUUUUGUCAAUAUUGACAAUAAACUGCAUGUUUUCUUACCGUUAGUAAUCCGACAGUCCGUUGGUCACAUUGUGCAUUAGUCCGUUUAAGUUAUUAUUGCCUUACACUUUUCAAUAUAAAUUUAUGAACUUUAAACAAAAUAAGUAACUAACUAAGUAACUAUUUAACUGACUAACACGCGCGUUUUUUUCCCAAUAUCCGAGACAUUUUACUUUCGCACCUUGCCCUCAAUGUCUGGCUUUUAAAGUUUACCGCCUUUUUGCGAAUACAAUGACGUUUACAUAUGAAUUGCCCAAUGAAAAUUUCGGCGGGAUGACGUCAGGCGCCAAAACUGGCGCGUGGUUUUUCCCGGUAUAGACCCAGUGUGUCAACGCUGUAAAUGCAUUGUGGGAAACGGACUAUUUCCAGCAUGGCGCCCGUAAAGAUUAUGAACACGGAAGUAAAAAUAGUAAUAAAUUAUUAUCAAAAACAGGCCUCAUCAAACCGGGUCAGCCAUGAUAUAUUCUUGGAUGCAGUUUGUGCUUCAAAAGGAGCUACUUUUCAUGCCAGCCUAUCGAUACUAUGUGGGAACUGGGAUUCGGGAUGCUCUCCCACUGGUAUCAUAUGCAGAUCAGUGGUCACAAGAACGUACACAACAUCAUUAAUGUCAGCAAUAUAUAUCUCCAACUUCAAACACACAGCUUGCAAAAUCGCUGAAUAUUGCACAAAAGCAGCUUCGUUACAAACUUCCAGCAACUCGAAAUCCACAAGCAGUCUCGUUCCCCACCCACUUUGACUUCGUAGCGAAGGCAUGUUUUUUUUGGGAAACCGUUAACAUCUCACAACUAAACGUAUACUACGGAGAUUGACAAGUUGAAAAAUAAAUUACUGUAAUCACUUCCAAUUUGCGCACUAAGUUAAACUCCAGUUCCAGUUUGUCUUUAUUGUUGAAAUGUUACUCUACACAUUCGCUUUGAAAAUAGAGGUUGGCGUGUUGUUGGAAGUACAUGUACAUGUCGAAUGUGUUAUUGUAAAAACUAUUGGUAUUGUGUUUUUAGUGCAGACAUUGUAUUUAAGUUUCGAUUUCUAGCAUAAAUUUAUAUAUUUUGUUAAAUAAUUUGCGUUUGAAUGUGAUUGUUUGUUGCUUACUUGCGAACUAUUUUUUAUGUGUAAAUAUGCAUAGACGCUAGUGGAUAUGUAAUCAGGUUACCAUAUUUACAACAAUAAAAUUUAACGGCUGUU